ACAUCUAAUCAAUAAAUCACAUGCACUUGGCCGGGUCUUAUCAAUCAAAAUCUUACUAGGAUAAGGGAAUCCCAGGCUCCCAAGUGAGGGCAACAAUUAUGCGGAGCGGCACAGAGCGGCUCAAGAGGCACUCAGCCCGGCUGAAGAAUUCCAAAGGAGCUGCAGCUUCAGCUGGCAAAAUCAAACAAAGGGCUGCACCGAAUGCAAAGGGAAUCAUCAGCAGCAAAAGAGAACGAUGGGGGGCAGGAGCAGGAUCCUCGCCACUUUUUUUUCGACGCUUUGUCUCAGUCUCAAUAACGAAAUGCAAAUACGGCAAAAAGCGAAAGCAAACACACAAAUACGCAUGAGGAGAACCGACUAGAAGAGCCAGAGAGUGGAAAAGUGGCAGAACGGCAGGACCAAAGCAAAUCGAAUGGCACAGAGGCGAACGGAAGGCUGCCAAGUGCCCGGCAAGGAAAUCUGCAGUAAAAAAUUCAGGAUACAAAUCGUGAUGAUAACUACGAAUAUACAGAUGCUCUAACCUGAAGGAUAUUUAUAAGAAGCCAGAAGAUUAGGGCUUAAAACUAACAAAAUUACUUUGAAAUCGAACAACUGCACCCAGCACUUAAGAACAUGUUGUGGGUUUUCUUUGCAUAAAUAUUAGGUCGUGUAAGGUAACUAUUUAUUAUUAAACCAAAAUAAACGAAACACUUGUGUUCGAAUAUGAAUGCAACAGGAUGCUAAUCAGAUUAAAA
rnacentral:sRNA from 1 species